AAACGAUUGAAGUCAGUCGUACCGACGAGAAAUCAACUUAUUGUGUGCGAACUUGUGGGCGUGCGUGAGUUUCGGCCUCGCUGUUUGCAUGUUUGUGCGUUUUGGGUGCA
rnacentral:rRNA from 1 species